GGGUCCAUAGCUCAGUUGGGAGAGCGCCUCGUUCGCAACGAGGAGGUCGGGGGUUCGAAUCCCCUUGGAUCCACCA
rnacentral:tRNA from 1 species